CCUACGGGAGGCAGCAGUGAGGAAUAUUGGUCAAUGGACGAGAGUCUGAACCAGCCAAGUAGCGUGAAGGAUGACUGCCCUAUGGGUUGUAAACUUCUUUUAUAAAGGAAUAAAACGAGGCACGUGUGCCUUUUUGCAUGUACUUUAUGAAUAAGGAUCGGCUAACUCCGUGCCAGCAGCCGCGGUAAUACGGAGGAUCCGAGCGUUAUCCGGAUUUAUUGGGUUUAAAGGGAGCGUAGAUGGGUUGUUAAGUCAGUUGUGAAAGUUUGCGGAUCAACCGUAAAAUUGCAAUUGAUACUGGCAGUCUUGAGUACAGUUGAGGUAAGCGGAAUUCGUGGUGUAGCGGUGAAAUGCGUAGAUAUCACGAAGAACCCCGAUUGCGAAGGCAGCUUACUAAACUGUGACUGACAUUGAUGCUCGAAAGUGUGGGGAUCAAACAGGAUUAGAUACCCCAGUAGUC
rnacentral:rRNA from 1 species